GCCUGGGUAGCUCAGCUGGUAGAGCAGCGCAUUCGUAAUGCGCAGGUCAGGGGUUCGAGUCCCCUCCCAGGCU
rnacentral:tRNA from 1 species